GUGGGGAAUCUUGCGCAAUGGGCGAAAGCCUGACGCAGCCAUGCCGCGUGAAUGAUGAAGGUCUUAGGAUUGUAAAAUUCUUUCACCGGGGACGAUAAUGACGGUACCCGGAGAAGAAGCUCCGGCUAACUUCGUGCCAGCAGCCGCGGUAAUACGAAGGGGGCUAGCGUUGCUCGGAAUUACUGGGCGUAAAGGGCGCGUAGGCGGACAGCUUAGUCAGAGGUGAACGCCCAGGGCUCAACCUUGGAAUUGCCUUUGAUACUGGCUGUCUGGAGUUUGGGAGAGGUGAGUGGAAGUCCGAGUGUAGAGGUGAAAUUCGUAGAUAUUCGGAAGAACACCAGUGGCGAAGGCGACCCACUGGCCCAAUACUGACGCUGAGGCGCGAAAGCGUGGGGAGCAAACAGGAUUAGAUACCCCAGUAGUCC
rnacentral:rRNA from 1 species